rnacentral:tRNA from 1 species
AUUUACAUAAUAUAAAUAAUUAUAUUUGACUUCCAAUCAAAAAAUCUAGAAUUAGUGUAAAUA